GUUUGGGGGUGGUUUUUUAAUGGUGGUCUGUAGUUGUGCUUUGGAUAACAUUCCUAAAGGUGAACAAGAGCUCUGGAAUUGUUCAGUUAUCAUACAGCAUCCAGGUGACUUGUUAAUAAUUAGGUUUUUUUCAGAUGCGGAGAGAGAAUAUGUGCACCAAAGAGCAGUACAGGAGGGGAGCAGAGCCCUCUAAGAAGGUGCAAAGCUGGAUGUUGAUGCUCUAGGAUAUCAGCACUGGAGGUGACUCAGGCCAGGUGGGGCGCAAGCCUCAGUGUGGCAACAUGUAAAUGGCAGAGGUGGCGAGGA